UUAGGAAUAUAAAUGAACAAAACUAGUCCAUUUACAAACCCUACCGACCUGCAUCAAUGAGUGAUAAGCUUUAUUCAUUCAAAUGUUAUCGUAUUUUCGAGAGACGGAUUUAUAUGGCUAGAUCGACAUAAAUGCAAUGUAAUGAGGGUCAAGAACAUACAAAUAUAGUUUAUGGGAUCAUUCGUCCAAUAUUUUUAGCUUUUACAAACGGAAUGAUAAAGCUUGUAUACCCCUAUCCUAUGGUGGAAGGUAUAAAAAUUUAUUUUAUUCCAUGGAUAUACAAUUUGUCAUACACUUUAAUAUUUUAAAUUUUCUGUUUUUACCCCAAGAUUUCGAAUAGCUCAUCAUUGGUGAUAUGCUCAUACGGAAAAGUCAUUAAUUAUUAACAUUAUUUAAAAUUUCACACAACACUUAAGUAAGGAAACCAUUUGCUUUUUUGUUCAAACACAUAGCACCCCGCUUUGCCAUCUAGGAAGGAAAUGGCAACACAACAUCUUAACGGUGGUUUGUUUGUCAAGACGUGUUGCCAAUUGCAUUGCACAAUAUGAUGUUCUUCCAGGAUUGCCGUUUUGUAUAUUCUAUCAUUUUGCAAUAAUAACGAACAUAAAAUGGGACUUGAAAUUAUACUGCGUAGUGACAAUUUAAUGCAAAAACAUUACUCACAUAGGAAUAUAUGAGAUUGGUUAGUGUGUGCGUGUGUUCAUAUGUUCAUGUGCCACAUACUAAAAACACUGAGGUGUAUAACGUGUCAAAUACUGACAACAAAGAGAAGGCAAAUACAAAGCGCAUAGGAAAAAGAAUUUAACAGAGAUAAUAAGUAAACAAAAUAAGCAUUAAUAUAUAAAAAAAAGAAAAUAAAUAAAACAUUUAAAUACCUAUAAGCAAGA